UCUAAUACUUCAUAAUAUCCAUCUCGUAUGGAUUAAAGCUUUAUGCGCUUUGGGAGGGGCCUGCGUAACAUUAGCUAGUUGGUGAGGUAAAAGCUCACCAAGGCUUCGAUGUUUAACUGGUUUGAGAGGAUGACCAGUCACACUGGGACUGAGAUACGGCCCAGACUCCUACGGGAGGCAGCAGUAAGGAAUCUUCCACAAUGGGGGCAACCCUGAUGGAGCAAUACCGCGUGCAGGAUGAAGCGUUUCGGCGUGUAAACUGCUUUUAUCACCGAAGAUUAUGACUGUAGGUGAAGAAUAAGGACCGGCUAACUACGUG
rnacentral:rRNA from 1 species